rnacentral:rRNA from 1 species
AUUGAACGCUGGCGGCAUGCUUUACACAUGCAAGUCGAACGGCAGCGCGGGCUUCGGCCUGGCGGCGAGUGGCGAACGGGUGAGUAAUGCAUCGGAACGUGCCCAGUAGUGGGGGAUAGCCCGGCGAAAGCCGGAUUAAUACCGCAUACGACCUGAGGGUGAAAGCGGGGGACCGAAAGGCCUCGCGCUAUUGGAGCGGCCGUUGUCGGAUUAGCUAGUUGGUGGGGUAAAGGCUUACCAAGGCGACGAUCCGUAGCUGGUCUGAGAGGACGACCAGCCACACUGGGACUGAGACACGGCCCAGACUCCUACGAGAGGCAGCAGUGGGGAAUUUUGGACAAUGGGGGCAACCCUGAUCCAGCCAUGCCGCGUGCGGGAAGAAGGCCUUCGGGUUGUAAACCGCUUUUGUUCGGGAAGAAAUCCUCUGGGCUAAUACCCCGGGGGGAUGACGGUACCGGAAGAAUAAGCACCGGCUAACUACGUG